rnacentral:rRNA from 1 species
AUUGAACGCUGGCGGAAUGCUUUACACAUGCAAGUCGAACGGUAGAGGGGGCAACCCCUCGAGAGUGGCGAACGGGUGAGUAAUAUAUCGGAACGUGCCCAGUCGUGGGGGAUAACGUAGCGAAAGUUACGCUAAUACCGCAUACGAUCUAAGGAUGAAAGCGGGGGAUCGCAAGACCUCGCGCGAUUGGAGCGGCCGAUAUCAGAUUAGGUAGUUGGUGGGGUAAAGGCUCACCAAGUCAACGAUCUGUAGCUGGUCUGAGAGGACGACCAGCCACACUGAAACUGAGACACGGUCCAGACUCCUACGGGAGGCAGCAGUGGGGAAUUUUGGACAAUGGACGCAAGUCUGAUCCAGCCAUUCCGCGUGCAGGAUGAAGGCCCUCGGGUUGUAAACUGCUUUUGUACGGAACGAAAAGGUCUCUCUUAAUACGGGGGACUCAUGACGGUACCGUAAGAAUAAGCACCGGCUAACUACGUGCCAGCCGCCGCGGUAA